UACGAAGGGUGCAAACGUUGCUCGGAAUUAUUGGGCGUAAAGCGCACGUAGGCGGCUUGGCAAGUCGGAUGUGAAAUCCCUCGGCUUAACCGGGGAACUGCGUCUGAUACUGGAUGGCUUGAAUCCGGGAGAGGGAUGCGGAAUUCCAGGUGUAGCGGUGAAAUGCGUAGAUAUCUGGAGGAACACCGGUGGCGAAGGCGGCAUCCUGGACCGAGAUUGACGCUGAGGCGCGAAAGCCAGGGGAGCAAACGGG
rnacentral:rRNA from 1 species